rnacentral:tRNA from 1 species
ACCAAAAGCUUAGGUUAAACCAAA